rnacentral:rRNA from 1 species
GACGAACGCUGGCGGCGUGCUUAACACAUGCAAGUCGAACGGAAAGGCCCUGCUUUUGUGGGGUGCUCGAGUGGCGAACGGGUGAGUAACACGUGAGUAACCUGCCCUUGAUUUUGGGAUAACUUCAGGAAACUGGGGCUAAUACCGGAUAGGAGCUCCUGCUGCAUGGUGGGGGUUGGAAAGUUUCGGCGGUUGGGGAUGAACUCGCGGCUUAUCAGCUUGUUGGUGGGGUAGUGGCUUACCAAGGCUUUGACGGGUAGCCGGCCUGAGAGGGUGAGCGGCCACAUUGGGACUGAGAUACGGCCCAGACUCCUACGGGAGGCAGCAGUGGGGAAUAUUGCACAAUGGGCGGAAGCCUGAUGCAGCAACGCCGCGUGCGGGAUGACGGCCUUCGGGUUGUAAACCGCUUUCGCCUGUGACGAAGCGUGAGUGACGGUAAUGGGUAAAGAAGCACCGGCUAACUACGUG